UCUACCAUUAGGGAAAUGAUUAAGUCAAAGAAAUAGAAAAGGAACUUUAGUUUAAGCACAGAAAUUCCAAGGAGAAAGAGGAGUUAAUUAAUUCAUGAACCUCAAUGACAAUAACCCAUUAUUGGAUCUUUCAACGAGAGCAAAAGGAACCGAACCAGAAAGUUUGUUUCCUGCUAAAUUCCUGCAGUUUUAGUUAAAUGGUAUCAUGUCCCUUCUAAUGGUUGCAGAAUUGUAGGACAAAGGAAGAAUAACAUACAAAGUCCUCAAAUUUGGCAGUUCUGACAGAAAUUCAGACCAAGAACUCACAAGGAAAUAAUUCUUGGGGGAUCAUAACCAUUAUCAUUGCAAUACAAGCCAUCCCAAGAUGGAAGAGGUAUGCAUGGAUCUCCUCGCCAGACUUUGUUCACGUUAUAGAUUGACUUGAUGUCUUCAAUUGCAUUAACUAGAUGAUCAAUACAAGUGAGUCAAGCUUCAGCAAAACAAAUGUAGGAUAUCUGAAAUUAUAUGAUGAAAUAUACCGUCUUCUUUGUCGGUUGGUUGCUGCCAGAAAUCUUUCACUAAAUAUAUUUCCAGUGCAUUCAAAAUGGGAGGAAGGGUAGAAUUUGGCAACUUGUGGAGACUGAAGCUAAGCUUGGCUCCUCUUACCGACUCAAUAGUUUCAAUCUCAGCAAAGUGCAUGUAAAUGAACAAUUUUUCAUUGGGAUCGCCAAUAUCGAAUCCAAAGUUGAGUGGUUUAUCUGCAUUUAUGGGCUGGACAGCAGUUUGCAUCACCUUUGAUGGUAGAUUGAAGUCAGU